GCCAUCUUGGUUGUCAGAUUGACUGUUCAAGUAUCACAGGGCUGUGUUCAAGUAACCCUUAUUUUACUUCAUAAUAGCCCCAAAGCACAAGAGGAGUGAUGCCAGCAAUUUGAGUAUGCCAAAGAGAAGUCGUCAUGUGUUUCUUUUAAAUAAAAAGCUCCUGCUCCACCUUCCAUCAUAAUUGUGAACUUCCAGUGGCCUCCCCAGAAGCAGAUGCCAGUCCUAUGCUUCUUGUUCUUCCAGCAGAAUAUUUUCGCUUUUGUCACCCAAGCUGGAGUGCAAUGGUGCGAUUUCUGCUCACUGUGACCUCUGUCUCCUGGGUUCAAGCGAUUCUCCUGCCUUAGACUCCUGAAAAGCUUGAAAUACAGAUGCCCACCACUACACCCA
rnacentral:lncRNA from 13 species